rnacentral:rRNA from 1 species
ANAAGCCCACGGCUCGGCAUCGAGCAGGGGGAAAAGGAGUAAUCCGCUUUGAGAUGGCCUCGCGUCCGAUUAGCUAGUUGGUGAGGUAAUGGCCCACCAAGGCAACGAUCGGUAGCCGGACUGAGAGGUUGAACGGCCACAUUGGGACUGAGACACGGCCCAGACUCCUACGGGAGGCAGCAGUGGGGAAUAUUGCACAAUGGGGGAAACCCUGAUGCAGCGACGCCGCGUGGAGGAAGAAGGUCUUCGGAUUGUAAACUCCUGUUGUUGGGGAAGAUAAUGACGGUACCCAACAAGGAAGUGACGGCUAACUACGUGCCAGCAGCCGCGGUAAAACGUAGGUCACAAGCGUUGUCCGGAAUUACUGGGUGUAAAGGGAGCGCAGGCGGGAAGACAAGUUGGAAGUGAAAUCUAUGGGCUCAACCCAUAAACUGCUUUCAAAACUGUUUUUCUUGAGUAGUGCAGAGGUAGGCGGAAUUCCCGGUGUAGCGGUGGAAUGCGUAGAUAUCCGGGAGGAACACCAGUGGCGAAGGCGGCCUACUGGGCACCAACUGACGCUGAGGCUCGAAAGUGUGGGUAGCAAACAGGAUUAGAUACCCUGGUUAGUCCACACCGUAAACGAUUGAUUACUGGGUGUUGGAGGAUUGACCCCUUCAGUGCCGCAGUUAACACAAUAAGUAAUCCACCUGGGGAGUACGACCGCAAGGUUGAAACUCAAAGGAAUUGACGGGGGCCCGCACAAGCAGUGGAGUAUGUGGUUUAAUUCGACGCAACGCGAAGAACCUUACCAAGUCUUGACAUCCCUUGACAGACAUAGAAAUAUGUAAUCUCUUCGGAGCAAGGAGACAGGUGGUGCAUGGUUGUCGUCAGCUCGUGUCGUGAGAUGUUGGGUUAAGUCCCGCAACGAGCGCAACCCUUAUGGUCAGUUACUACGCAAGAGGACUCUGGCCAGACUGCCGUUGACAAAACGGAGGAAGGUGGGGAUGACGUCAAAUCAUCAUGCCCUUUAUGACUUGGGCUACACACGUACUACAAUGGCGUUAAACAAAGAGAAGCAAGACCGCGAGGUGGAGCAAAACUCAGAAACAACGUCCCAGUUCGGACUGCAGGCUGCAACUCGCCUGCACGAAGUCGGAAUUGCUAGUAAUCGUGGAUCAGCAUGCCCCGGUGUUUUCGUUCCCGGGCCUUGUUCUCCCCG